UCAGCCUUUCCGCCCAGGGCAAGGGGGGCGCCGCCGCCUUCCCGCUCCCCCAAAAGAGGGUGCUGCUUGACCAUCUCACGAACAUUGUCAAAGCUGAGCCCGUGGAUAUCAUUGAGUCUCCCGUCCGUCAGCAGGCGAUGGUUGCCCUCCGGCACCUGAGCAAGGUGCCAGAGCCGCUGAGCCGCGAGGAGAACCGGGAGGUGGCGGAGGUGUGCCUGGGCCGGGUCCUGGUCCUCCCUCCAGCGGGG